UACGUAGGGUGCGAGCGUUGUCCGGAUUUAUUGGGCGUAAAGCGCGCGCAGGUGGUGGAUUAAGUUGUGGGUAAAAGGCAUUGGCUCAACCAAUGUAAGCCUGCAAAACUGGUUCACUUGAGUGCAGGAGAGGGGAGUGGAAUUCCCGGUGUAGCGGUGGAAUGCGUAGAUAUCGGGAGGAACACCAGUGGCGAAGGCGGCUAUCUGGGCUGAAACUGACGCUGAGGCGACGAAGGCUAGGGGAGCAAACAGG
rnacentral:rRNA from 1 species